rnacentral:rRNA from 1 species
AUUGAACGCUGGCGGCAUGCCUUACACAUGCAAGUCGAACGGUAACAGGUCUUCGGAUGCUGACGAGUGGCGAACGGGUGAGUAAUACAUCGGAACGUGCCCGAUCGUGGGGGAUAACGCAGCGAAAGCUGUGCUAAUACCGCAUACGAUCUACGGAUGAAAGCGGGGGAUCGCAAGACCUCGCGCGGACGGAGCGGCCGAUGGCAGAUUAGGUAGUUGGUGGGGUAAAGGCUCACCAAGCCUGCGAUCUGUAGCUGGUCUGAGAGGACGACCAGCCACACUGGGACUGAGACACGGCCCAGACUCCUACGGGAGGCAGCAGUGGGGAAUUUUGGACAAUGGGCGCAAGCCUGAUCCAGCCAUGCCGCGUGCAGGAUGAAGGCCUUCGGGUUGUAAACUGCUUUUGUACGGAACGAAAAGGUUCUUUCUAAUAAAGAGAGCCCAUGACGGUACCGUAAGAAUAAGCACCGGCUAACUACGUGCCAGCAGCCGCCGUAA